GCGGGGGAUAACAUUUGGAAACAGAUGCUAAUACCGCAUAACAAUUUGAAUCGCAUGAUUCAAAUUUAAAAGAUGGCUUCGGCUAUCACUUUGGGAUGGACCUGCGGCGCAUUAGCUUGUUGGUAGGGUAACGGCCUACCAAGGCUGUGAUGCGUAGCCGAGUUGAGAGACUGAUCGGCCACAAUGGAACUGAGACACGGUCCAUACUCCUACGGGAGGCAGCAGUAGGGAAUCUUCCACAAUGGGCGCAAGCCUGAUGGAGCAACACCGCGUGAGUGAAGAAGGGUUUCGGCUCGUAAAGCUCUGUUGUUAGAGAAGAACGUGCGUGAGAGUAACUGUUCACGCAGUGACGGUAUCUAACCAGAAAGUCACGGCUAACUACGUGCCAGCAGCCGCGGUAAUACGUAGGUGGCAAGCGUUAUCCGGAUUUAUUGGGCGUAAAGCGAGCGCAGGCGGUUUGAUAAGUCUGAUGUGAAAGCCUUUGGCUUAACCAAAGAAGUGCAUCGGAAACUGUCAGACUUGAGUGCAGAAGAGGACAGUGGAACUCCAUGUGUAGCGGUGGAAUGCGUAGAUAUAUGGAAGAACACCAGUGGCGAAGGCGGCUGUCUGGUCUGCAACUGACGCUGAGGCUCGAAAGCAUGGGUAGCGAACAGGAUUAGAUACCCUGGUAGUCCAUGCCGUAAACGAUGAGUGCUAGGUGUUGGAGGGUUUCCGCCCUUCAGUGCCGCAGCUAACGCAUUAAGCACUCCGCCUGGGGAGUACGACCGCAAGGUUGAAACUCAAAGGAAUUGACGGGGGCCCGCACAAGCGGUGGAGCAUGUGGUUUAAUUCGAAGCUACGCGAAGAACCUUACAAGUCUUGACAUCUUGCG
rnacentral:rRNA from 1 species